CCCACAGGGGUGGGCCUUGAGCUUCAGAGUCCUAGCCCCACAGUCAGUAGCUCGGCAGAGGGGGGACAAAUGCCCAAAGCCCCGGGGCUGUGAAGGACGCCUGCCAGACUCAGCACCAGCGGGGAGGGCUGUGUGCCCAUCACAGGUGACUCAACUCCGGUGCGACAGCCUCCAACCUCUGCCCUGGAGAGCUGGACUCUAAAGAUGUCUCCAGCCGUGGCCAGUGAGUCACUUCACAUUACCGCAUGAGCCAGUGCCACCUCCCACCUUCCUCCCCGUGAAGAUGUUCACCUGAGUCAGCACAUCGCACAUUCAUCAGGACGCGCAGCCCUAGCAUUUCUAAGAAAGAGGAAAACCAUAGCCCAGAGGAGGAGGAAGUCUUCUAAAGAGAGGGCCCGCGUCCGCAGCGAGGACAGCGCCCCGGUGACACUAGCUCUGGGGGACCACCAGUGUUCUAUAUAAUUCACUCAUUUGGACUCGAGCCAGACCGUCUGAGGGUGUCUCUGCGUUAACCUCACAGAGUUACAUUUUCUGAAGAUUAAAAGCUAUAUAAUAUAUAUGU